rnacentral:rRNA from 1 species
CACGUAGUUAGCCGGGGCUUCUUAGUCAGGUACCGUCAUUUUCUUCCCUGCUGAUAGAAGUUUACAUACCGAAAUACUUCUUCCUUCACGCGGCGUCGCUGCAUCGGGGUUUCCCCCAUUGUGCAAUAUUCCCCACUGCUGCCUCCCGUAGGAGUUUGGGCCGUGUCUCAGUCCCAAUGUGGCCGUUCACCCUCUCAGGCCGGCUACUGAUCGUCGCCUUGGUGAGCCCUUACCUCACCAACCAGCUAAUCAGACGCGGGUCCAUCUCAUACCACCGGAGUUUUUCACACCGUCCCAUGCGAGACCGUGCGCUUAUGCGGUAUUAGCAGUCAUUUCUAACUGUUAUCCCCCUGUAUGAGGCAGGUUACCCACGCGUUACUCACCCGUCCGCCACUCAGUCAAAUAAGACUUCAAACCGAAGUAAUCCGUCUUAAGUGCUUCGUUCGACUUGCAUGUGUUAAGCACGCCGCCAGCGUUCAUCCUGAGCCAGGAUCAAACUCU